rnacentral:rRNA from 1 species
AGCGAACGCUGGCGGCAGGCUUAGCACAUGCAAGUCGAACGCCCCGCAAGGGGAGUGGCAGACGGGUGAGUAACACGUGGGAACGUACCCUUUGGUUCGGAAUAACUUGGGGAAACUCAAGCUAAUACCGGAUAAGCCCUUAUGGGGAAAGGUUUACUGCCGAAGGAUCGGCCCGCGUCUGAUUAGCUAGUUGGUGAGGUAAUGGCUCACCAAGGCGACGAUCAGUAGCUGGUCUGAGAGGAUGAUCAGCCACACUGGGACUGAGACAAGGCCCAGACUCCUACGGGAGGCAGCAGUGGGGAAUAUUGGACAAUGGGGGCAACCCUGAUCCAGACAUGCCGCGUGAGUGAUGAAGGCCUUAGGGUUGUAAAGCUCUUUUACCCGGGACGAUAAUGACUGUACCGGGAGAAUAAGCCCCGGCUAACUUCGUGCCAGCAGCCGCCGUAA